rnacentral:rRNA from 1 species
GGCGUGCUUAACACAUGCAAGUCGAACGGAAAGGCCCUGCUUGCAGGGUACUCGAGUGGCGAACGGGUGAGUAACACGUGGGUGAUCUGCCCUGCACUUCGGGAUAAGCCUGGGAAACUGGGUCUAAUACCGGAUAGGACCAUCGUUUAGUGUCGGUGGUGGAAAGUUUUUCGGUGCAGGAUGAGCUCGCGGCCUAUCAGCUUGUUGGUGGGGUAAUGGCCUACCAAGGCGUCGACGGGUAGCCGGCCUGAGAGGGUGGACGGCCACAUUGGGACUGAGACACGGCCCAGACUCCUACGGGAGGCAGCAGUGGGGAAUAUUGCACAAUGGGCGCAAGCCUGAUGCAGCGACGCCGCGUGGGGGAUGAAGGCCUUCGGGUUGUAAACUCCUUUCAACCAUGACGAAGCAUUAUGUGACGGUAGUGGUAGAAGAAGCACCGGCUAACUACGUGCCAGCAGCCGCGGUAAUACGUAGGGUGCGAGCGUUGUCCGGAAUUACUGGGCGUAAAGAGCUCGUAGGUGGUUUGUCGCGUCGUCUGUGAAAUUCCGGGGCUUAACUCCGGGCGUGCAGGCGAUACGGGCAUAACUUGAGUGCUGUAGGGGAGACUGGAAUUCCUGGUGUAGCGGUGAAAUGCGCAGAUAUCAGGAGGAACACCGAUGGCGAAGGCAGGUCUCUGGGCAGUAACUGACGCUGAGGAGCGAAAGCAUGGGUAGCGAACAGGAUUAGAUACCCUGGUAGUCCAUGCCGUAAACGGUGGGCGCUAGGUGUGGGGGUCUUCCACGACUUCUGUGCCGUAGCUAACGCAUUAAGCGCCCCGCCUGGGGAGUACGGCCGCAAGGCUAAAACUCAAAGGAAUUGACGG